rnacentral:rRNA from 1 species
AUAUCAAUAAGCGGAGGAAAAGAAACCAACAGGGAUUGCCCUAGUAACGGCGAGUGAAGCGGCAACAGCUCAAAUUUGAAAUCUGGCGUCUUUGGCGUCCGAGUUGUAAUUUGCAGAGGGCGCUUUGGCAUUGGCAGCGGUCCAAGUUCCUUGGAACAGGACGUCACAGAGGGUGAGAAUCCCGUACGUGGUCGCUAGCCUUUACCGUGUAAAGCCCCUUCGACGAGUCGAGUUGUUUGGGAAUGCAGCUCUAAAUGGGAGGUAAAUUUCUUCUAAAGCUAAAUACUGGCCAGAGACCGAUAGCGCACAAGUAGAGUGAUCGAAAGAUGAAAAGCACUUUGGAAAGAGAGUUAAAAAGCACGUGAAAUUGUUGAAAGGGAAGCGCUUGCAGCCAGACUUGCCUGUAGUUGCUCAUCCGGGUUUUUACCCGGUGCACUCUUCUACGGGCAGGCCAGCAUCAGUUUGGGCGGUUGGAUAAAGGUCUCUGUCAUGUACCUCCUUUCGGGGAGAUCUUAUAGGGGAGACGACAUGCAACCAGCCUGGACUGAGGUCCGCGCAUCUGCUAGGAUGCUGGCGUAAUGGCUGUAAGCGGCCCGUCUUGAAACACGGACCAAGGAGUCUAACAUCUAUGCGAGUGUUUGGGUGUCAAGCCCGAGCGCGUAAUGAAAGUGAACGGAGGUGGGAACCUUUCGGGGUGCACCAUCGACCGAUCCUGAUGUCUUCGGAUGGAUUUGAGUAAGAGCAUAGCUGUUGGGACCCGAAAGAUGGUGAACUAUGCUUGAAUAGGGUGAAGCCAGAGGAAACUCUGGUGGAGGCUCGCAGCGGUUCUGACGUGCAAAUCGAUCGUCAAAUUUGGGCAUAGGGGCGAAAGACUAAUCGAACUAUCUAGUAGCUGGUUCCUGCC